rnacentral:rRNA from 1 species
UACGAAGGGGGCUAGCGUUGUUCGGAAUGACUGGGCGUAAAGGGCGCGUAGGCGGUAAGAUACGUUUGGUGUGAAAGUCCUGGGCUUAACCUGGGGACUGCACUGAAUACGGUUUUACUGGAGUGCGAGAGGGGAUAAGGGAAUUGUGCGUGUAGAGGUGAAAUUCGUAGAUAUGCACAAGAACACCGGUGGCGAAGGCGCUUAUCUGGCUCGCAACUGACGCUAAGGCGCGAAAGCGUGGGGAGCAAACAGG